rnacentral:misc_RNA from 1 species
ACCAUACAAGUUUGGUUAAAGGAUCAUGGACCUGUAAAUUUUCGAUUUCUGCUACUUUACUCUUCUUGGUUAUUUUGUGCAAUUGGGUUUACUACUAUGGUUUCAUUGUAAACCAAAUUCUAUGGGUCUUUCCUAAAGAUUUCUGAAUUUUAAGUUGUAUGAAUUUCUAUGUAGAAGUUGCUGCUCGACUUGUCCAUUUCCGUCAAUAAUAACAUGGUUUCUGUGUUUUUCAUGCCUGGCUAUAUGCUAACCUUUUUCUUCAAUAUUCAAAACUAAUGUUUUAAUCUUGUAAUGAUCCAUAUUAUUAAGGAAUCUUAAUCAUGUGAGUGCUAACUUUUUCAAUAUCUGUGCUUUCACCUUUUUUUUCCUAGAGGAUAAGGGAUUUGAAGAUGCCAAACCUGUGAUACCAGUACCAUACUCCUCAUUUGGAAUUGAUCAAGAUUCAAGGAUUAACUCUGCCUAGAACCAGACUUGUCUGCAGUUUUUGGGUCUGGUGUAAAAUAACAUCACCCAGCCAUUUUGCGAUUGAUAGUGUAGACCCACUCUUAGCCUUACUUCAACAGCUUCAACCGUGUGUGAAACGCAAAUUCAGCAGUUAUGGGAGGUCAUGGAGGUCUUAACAUCCUUCCUCAAAAGCGGUGGAAUGUAUACAACUAUGAGAAUAGAGAAAAAGUCCGGCGAGAUGAGGAAGCCGCCGCUAGAGAAGAGCAAUUAAAGCGUGAGCAGUCAAGAAAGCGCGAUGCUGAGUUUCGCCUUGAGCAGCUACGGACUGCUCGUGGUUUGCUUCCGCUAAAUAAACCAGAAGUGGAGCCAGAGCCGAAGCCAGAGCAAUCAGAGCCCAAGUCCAACCACAUUAAUCUCUUUGAAGGGAUCAAGAUUUUUGACCCAGUUAAGGGAUUGGAGAAAGAAGGGGAUGCUGAGAGGGAUGGGUUUAGAAAGAAGAAGAUGAAGAAAGAGGAGGUGAGAGUUGUGACUGCUGAGGAUGAGAAGUAUAGGUUGGGUUAUGGGGUUGCCGGAAAAGGAGUUAAGUUGCCCUGGUACCUCGAGAGACGCAGUGAUGAUGUGAAUGAGAAGGAUGAAGAUGAUGGGUCGAUGAGAGGGAAGGAGGUUAUGAAGAAGAGUGGCAAGAAGACAUUGGAAGAACUAAGAGAGGAAAGAUUGAAAAGGGAAAAGCAGGAAAAAGAGAGGGAACGGGCAUUGUUGGAGAAGAAGCAGAGAGAUAGAGCUGGUUUUAGGAGUGGAAUGUUUUCCAGGAGGUGAGGUUAUUGAAGUGUUUAUUAUAUUAAUGUAUUUUGUCUCGUUUUAAAGGUUUAUAAGCAUGAAAUUUGGUCUCUCGGUCAGCAUAUUAAUUUGAUUGUUGAUCCUGAUAUAUUGUUUGUAGUUGCAUUGCUAUCUUUUUUGUCUAGUGUAAGAGCCUUUUAGGCUUCAUUUGGUGUUUUCUAGUCUGUUCUACAUGCUGCUUUGAGAAUUUAUCAUUUGUGUUCUAAAUACCCUUAGAAAAACUGAAAAGAAUCAAAAUAUAAAGCCUUCAGCUGUGUCAUAUAUAUGGCCAAUGAAUCUCUGGUGAUACUUAGCCUGCUUGUUUUAGGCUUAUGUUAACUUAUCUGAUAACAUUUUGGGAAGUAGUUCUACAUUUGAGGAGUGGUUGCAUCUAUACGGUAUCUAUUACUGUCUUGACCUGCAUUCACAAAGUAAAUAGUGGCUUUGUAAGUCUAUGUCUUGGAAACACUACUAGAUCCAUUGCCUCGUUCCUGUAGUUUUAUGUAAUUUUAGAACCUUGAACUAUUGACGUUGGACAGAGCCAACUUUUGUAAAUUGAUGGUUGUGUUUUUAUUGCAACCCCUCUCAAAUGGAAGGUAGGUUGUGGAUGGACUAGAUAAUUUCAAGCCAAGUCUUUGCUUUAAGAUUCUUUUAUCAUCAUUGAAUUUUGCCACAAUUUAAAUGGAAGUAUUAUAAGAGUGCGUAACUCAGCUAUGGUGAUCAAGGCUGGUGAGUCAGAAUUAU